GAUGAACGCUGGCGGCGUGCUUAACACAUGCAAGUCGAACGGAAAGGCCCAAGCUUGCUUGGGUACUCGAGUGGCGAACGGGUGAGUAACACGUGGGUGAUCUGCCCUGCACUUCGGGAUAAGCCUGGGAAACUGGGUCUAAUACCGGAUAGGACGAUGGUUUGGAUGCCAUUGUGGAAAGUUUUUUCGGUGUGGGAUGAGCUCGCGGCGUAUCAGCUUGUUGGUGGGGUAAUGGCCUACCACGGCGUCGACGGGUAGCCGGCCUGAGAGGGUGUACGGCCACAUUGGGACUGAGAUACGGCCCAGACUCCUACGGGAGGCAGCAGUGGGGAAUAUUGCACAAUGGGCGAAAGCCUGAUGCAGCGACGCCGCGUGGGGGAUGACGGCCUUCGGGUUGUAAACUCCUUUCGCUAGGGACGAAGCGUUUUUGUGACGGUACCUGGAGAAGAAGCACCGGCUAACUACGUG
rnacentral:rRNA from 1 species